rnacentral:rRNA from 1 species
AGCGUAUAUUAAAGUUGUUGCAGUUAAAAAGCUCGUAGUUGAAUUUCGGAAUUUGUCGGUUGGUCGGGCUUCACUGUCCGCACUGACCUGAUGGAUUCCUACCUUCUGAAUAACCAGCAUGCCAUUAAUUUAGUGCGUUGGGGAAGCAGAGCUAUUACCUUGAAAAAAUUAGAGUGCUUAAAGCAGGCUUGUGCUUGAAUAGAUUAGCAUGGAAUAAUAAAAUAGGACGGCAUGGUUCUAUUUUGUUGGUUUCUAGGAUCACCGUAAUGAUUAAUAGGGAUAGUUGGGGGCAUUAGUAUUCAAUUGUCAGAGGUGAAAUUCUUGGAUUUAUUGAAGACUAACUUCUGCGAAAGCAUUUGCCAAGGAUGUUUUCAUUAAUCAAGAACGAAAGUUAGGGGAUCGAAGACGAUCAGAUACCGUCGUAGUCUUAACCAUAAACUAUGCCGACUAGGGAUCGGACGAUGUUAAUUUUUUAAUGACUCGUUC